CAUGUCUUUUUGAUUAUAAUUUAAAGUCUGACCUGCCCUAUGAAUAUUUAUUUAAAUGGCUGCGGUAAUUUGACCGUGCAAAGGUAGCAUAAUAAUUAGUUUUUUAAUUGGGAACUGGUAUGAAAGGUCGAACGAGAAAAAGACUGUCUCAAUUUAAUUUAAAUUAGAAUUUUAUUUUUAAGUAAGAAAGCUUAAAUAUACUUAAAAGACGAGAAGACCCUAUAGAGUUUUAUAUAAAUUUUUUUAUUUAAAAGUUAAAGUAUUAUAGAUUUAUUUAAAAUUAUUUAUAUUUGGUUGGGGCGAUUGAAAAAUUUAAUAAACUUUUUUUAAAAUGUAAACCAUUAAUUUAUGAGUAAGUGAUCCAUUAUUUAUGAUUAUAAGAUUAAAUUACCUUAGGGAUAACAGCGUAAUUUUUUUUAAGAGUUCUAAUCGAAAAAAAAGUUUGCGACC
rnacentral:rRNA from 1 species